CUAUGAUAAUUUAGUUUUUAAAAUAUAAUAAGCACCUACUUGAAUUGCUUUCGAUAAACUUAUUUUUCGAGAUUUGAUCGAUGCGAAGUUUUCAAUACACAUCAUCAAAAUUGAUAGUUUGCAUCAUUUUAUUUUCUGUUGACAUUAUAGUAAUAUUCGAUAAUCUUUCUUGAGUCAUGGUUGAACGGAUAUAUGUUUUGAUUAGUUUACUGAAUGAUCUUCCCCAGAUGCAACAGUUACAGGAAAUGUAAGUAAUAUUCUGUAAGCGAUAACUAAAUUUGCCAUUUGGAUACAAUGAGCUAGUUCAUAAGUUUUUAUGCCAUAUAAUAUGUCUAAAUAAGUUGCAAUUUUUAAAUUAGGUAUUUAGGUAUAAUUGCUUCUCUUUAAUACUUCUAGUUCAGGUCUGAACUAUAUUUUAAAACUAGAUAAGCAGCGUGUUUUUUAAGAUCUUCAAUUGACAACAUAUUAAGAUGGAACCCAGAAAGAAAUUCAAAAUCGUUAGGAAUGUACUACAAUGCUUCAAAACGCCAAGAUAUUUUUGAAAUUAUACUCUUUUUUUGUACUCUAAUUUAAGUUUCAACUUUUCUGAUCCUUCAUUUCGCAUUUCUCCCAAAACAUUUUUUAAACCCAUCACAAUUUUUGAUGCAUUAGAAAUAGAAAUAUUUGAUUUUUUCAAGGUAAUAUAUUAACUCUAUAAACUUAAAGCGACGUCGUUAUUUCGAAGAAAAAAUAAAUACCAACACUAAAAAUAAACAAAAAUAAAAACACUAUAUUUGUCGACCGGUAGGUGAUCAAGGCUAUGUUUAUUAUGUCGAGAUAGUGAUGUUCAACGUGAAAUAAAUAUGUGAAUUAAUAUGGAGAAUUUUUAGUAAUAUUACUUAGAUUAUAAAAAUUAUUUUGGCGCCCCGUGGUCAAUGGCGCCCGGUGCACACGCACCUCUCGCACCCCCCUAGGAACGGCCCUGAUAUUAGUUAACAUUUAUCUAUUUUAUUGUUCAUUUAAUUUUAAUAAUUAUGAAUAGUUUAGAUCUUGUAGUUAAUAUCUAACUAGUACCUAUAAUUAAAUUGUAGAAGUAUUUUGUAUUUGUUUGUAAGUAUAAAGUAUAAAUUAUUUCAUGCAAAUUACGCAAUUAUUAUUGGCUUAAAUUGUUUAUUGUAUGUUCAAAUUCAUCCAGUUGGCAACUAAGUUACACAUUUUAGCACACCGCAAAUUACUCUUGGUUAAUGGUUAGUGAUGAUUACUACAAUUUGUGGUCCAUGGAUAUCUUUUAUUUAACCUGCAUACCGUAUAUGGCACAGUUCACAGUGUACACGUAUAAAUUUGGAAGUGUUUUUACCAGGAUGAUGCGUGAUUUAUAACAAUAUUAUUUAAAUUAUGACUUAUGAUUAUUGAUUUCUACGAUCACUCGCAAAAACAACUUGAAGGAUAUAGACAAUAUUCUACUGUGUAGGUAGUAUAUAUAAAAUUAUUGCAUUUUCAAGGGUGCACUGUGAAAUGAAUUCGUUAUGAACAAAAAAAAUUAAUAAUUCAAUAAUAACAAUAGUACAUUUUUUAACCUGUUUCCUCAUCUUUGAUAUAUUAUUAUCCACGAGUUUGAAAUAACAUGUAAAACAAAAAAAAAACCAUAUUUAAUUUGUGUAUUAUUUUCGAUAAAUUCGUGCAGUACCUGGAAGUAUUAUAGGAAGUAUUAUAGUAUUAUAGGUACUACCUAUUACGUUUAGGUUUCUAUUAGGUAUUCAUUGCGCGUGUAACACCUCAAUUCGCCGAAAUUAUGUCCGGUCGUCGUGACUUUCGUAACCAUGGUAAUAUAAUAAUAAUACGUAGGUACGUAUAUAUCACAGUGUUAGCAGUUUAUCUCCACCCGGGAAAACAAACGACAAAGUAAACACGCAGAUGUUUGACGCUUUUCUGCAGAGAAAACAUUUUAAAAGUUGCAGUAAAAACCGGAUAUAACUGGUCUAUAUGACCGUGCUUGGAAUCUGCUCCGCGUAGUGUGUUCUUAAAAUUAAAAAUAAACCGAAAACGCCAACUUUGACACGACACCCCUAGGCGGUCGGAAUUACAAAAACUACGCCUUCCGAGUGCAUUCACUAGCAUUAUAAUAAUAUAACGUACAAGAGAAACCUCUGCCAAAACGUCAAGUUUUUCCGAGCCCAGCGGUUUGACCUUGUGCGUGUCGAUCAAUCACUCGGUUUCUUCACUUUUGCGGCCCAUAUUAUUAUUAUUAGGUAUAUUAUGUGUACGGGUAAUACUAUAAUAUUACAAUACACAUAACGCGCGUAUUGUGGCCGAUUUACAGAAAAAAAA
rnacentral:lncRNA from 1 species